rnacentral:rRNA from 1 species
AUUGAACGCUGGCGGCAUGCCUUACACAUGCGAGUCGAACGGCAGCACGGGAGCAAUCCUGGUGGCGAGUGGCGAACGGGUGAGUAAAGUAUCGGAACGUGCCCAGUCGUGGGGGAUAACGUAGCGAAAGUUACGCUAAUACCGCAUACGAUCUAUGGAUGAAAGCGGGGGAUCGCAAGACCUCGCGCGAUUGGAGCGGCCGAUAUCCGAUUAGGUAGUUGGUGGGGUAAAGGCUCACCAAGCCGACGAUCUGUAGCUGGUCUGAGAGGACGACCAGCCACACGGGGAAUGAGACACGGCCCAGACGCCUACGGGAGGCAGCAGUGGGGAAUUUUGGACAAUGGGCGAAAGACUGAUCCAGCCAUGCCGCGUGGAGGAUGAAGGCCUUCGGGUUGUAAACUGCUUUUGUACGGAACGAAAAGGUUUGGGCUAAUAAGCUGAGCUCAUGACGGUACCGUAAGAAUAAGCACCGGCUAACUACGUGCCAGCCGCCGCAGUAA